rnacentral:rRNA from 1 species
GAUGAACGCUGGCGGCGUGCCUAAUACAUGCAAGUCGAGCGAACAGACGAGGAGCUUGCUCCUCUGACGUUAGCGGCGGACGGGUGAGUAACACGUGGAUAACCUACCUAUAAGACUGGGAUAACUUCGGGAAACCGGAGCUAAUACCGGAUAAUAUAUUGAACCGCAUGGUUCAAUAGUGAAAGACGGUUUUGCUGUCACUUAUAGAUGGAUCCGCGCCGCAUUAGCUAGUUGGUAAGGUAACGGCUUACCAAGGCAACGAUGCGUAGCCGACCUGAGAGGGUGAUCGGCAACACUGGACCGGAGACACGGUCCAGACUCCUACGGGAGGCAGCAGUAGGGAAUCUUCCGCAAUGGGCGAAAGCUUGACGGAGCAACGCCGCGUGAGUGAUGAAGGUCUUCGGAUCGUAAAACUCUGUUAUUAGGGAAGAACAAAUGUGUAAGUAACUAUGCACGUCUUGACGGUACCUAAUCAGAAAGCCACGGCUAACUACGUG